AGGCAUGGAGGAAAUGGUUUCUAACAUAAGAAAAUGCACGUUAGAACUUCACUAAGACAAGACAGAGACCUCUCAAACAUCAACAGGACAGCAACUUCAGGAGUUCAGGAUUUAAGUCAGGGGUAGAGCUGCUUUCCAAGGAGGUAACAGACCAGCACAGGAUCCUGUGUUCCCACACAAGCACUAAAAUGCAAUGCUCAGAGCAGCUUCCAGCAUCCUCUCCCUGAGCCUCUCAGUUGUCCCUGAAAGGACAUCAGAAAUGAGGCAGAUGAGCAGGAAGAGAAGAUGACCCAGCUGCCUCAUCACGGGGCGCCAGAGCCAAACCUAGCAGCCAAAAGAUGCUCACUCGUGAUCUGUCUGCAGCUCCCUCAGAGCAGGCUGUUGGAGGGAUAUCAGUCAGACUGGCAGGACUUUGCUGAUAAAGAACUAAAGAGCACCUGAGGCUUCAGCCUGCUGGAGGAGCAAGCACUGCAGAGGCCGUCAGGCGUCACCCGGCCGGGCUUCUGCUUUGAGUCCUACGUGUGCUCAGCAGGGCCGACCACAGGAUGGUGAACUCUGCCAGCUGAUUAAGUUGGUUUCUAUAUCUGGUUGCCAGUGUCAGGCAUGAGAGAAAAUUAGCUAAUUUCCAGGGUUGCUAGCAAGUGACUAAUGCUUGGAAAAAGAGCAAUGUGAGGUUAAUUUAUCAUCCGAUUUUAAAAAGGUGCAAGUUUAAAUACUAAUAAUGUGGAACGGGAAAUAAAGACCCAGCAAAUCAGCA
rnacentral:lncRNA from 1 species